AGCGAACGCUGGCGGCAGGCUUAACACAUGCAAGUCGAACGGGCUUCUUCGGAAGUCAGUGGCAGACGGGUGAGUAACACGUGGGAACGUGCCCUUCGGUUCGGAAUAACUCAGGGAAACUUGAGCUAAUACCGGAUACGCCCUUUUGGGGAAAGGUUGACUGCCGAAGGAUCGGCCCGCGUCUGAUUAGCUUGUUGGUGGGGUAACGGCCUACCAAGGCCACGAUCAGUAGCUGGUCUGAGAGGAUGAUCAGCCACACUGGGACUGAGACACGGCCCAGACUCCUACGGGAGGCAGCAGUGGGGAAUAUUGGACAAUGGGCGCAAGCCUGAUCCAGCCAUGCCGCGUGAGUGAUGAAGGCCUUAGGGUUGUAAAGCUCUUUUGUCCGGGACGAUAAUGACGGUACCGGAAGAAUAAGCCCCGGCUAACUUCGUG
rnacentral:rRNA from 1 species